CAGCCGCCGCGGGAAUACGUAGGUGGCAAGCGUUGUCCGGAAUUAUUGGGCGUAAAAGGCUCGCAGGCGGUUUCUUAAGUCUGAUGUGAAAGCCCCCGGCUCAACCGGGGAGGGUCAUUGGAAACUGGGAAACCUGAGUGCAGAAGAGGAGAGUGGAAUUCCACGUGUAGCGGUGAGAUGCGUAGAGAUGUGGAGGAACACCAGUGGCGAAGGCGACUCUCUGGUCUGUAACUGACGCUGAGGAGCGAAAGCGUGGGGAGCGAACAGGAUUAGAUACCCGGGUAGUCCCUGUCUCUUAUAC
rnacentral:rRNA from 1 species